GAUGAACGCUGGCGGCGUGCCUAAUACACGCAAGUCGAGCGAAUGGAUUAAGAGCUUGCUCUUAUGAAGUUAGCGGCGGACGGGUGAGUAACACGUGGGUAACCUGCCCAUAAGACUGGGAUAACUCCGGGAAACCGGGGCUAAUACCGGAUAACAUUUUGAACCGCAUGGUUCGAAAUUGAAAGGCGGCUUCGGCUGUCACUUAUGGAUGGACCCGCAUCGCAUUAGCUAGUUGGUGAGGUAACGGCUCACCAAGGCAACGAUGCGUAGCCGACCUGGGAGGGUGAUCGGCCACACGGGGACUGAAACACGGCCCAGACUCCUGCGGGAGGCAGCAGUAGGGAAUCUUCCGCAAUGGACGAAAGUCUGACGGAGCAACGCCGCGUGAGUGAUGAAGGCUUUCGGGUCGUAAAACUCUGUUGUUAGGGAAGAACAAGUGCUAGUUGAAUAAGCUGACACCUUGACGGUACCUAACCAGAAAGCCACGGCUAACUACGUGCCAGCCGCCGCCGUAA
rnacentral:rRNA from 1 species